rnacentral:rRNA from 1 species
CCUACGGGAGGCAGCAGUGAGGAAUAUUGGUCAAUGGACGAGAGUCUGAACCAGCCAAGUAGCGUGAAGGAUGACUGCCCUAUGGGUUGUAAACUUCUUUUAUAUGGGAAUAAAAUGUUCCACGUGUGGGAUUUUGUAUGUACCAUAUGAAUAAGGAUCGGCUAACUCCGUGCCAGCAGCCGCGGUAAUACGGAGGAUCCGAGCGUUAUCCGGAUUUAUUGGGUUUAAAGGGAGCGUAGGUGGAUUGUUAAGUCAGUUGUGAAAGUUUGCGACUCAACCGUAAAAUUGCAGUUGAAACUGGCAGUCUUGAGUACAGUAGAGGUGGGCGGAAUUCGUGGUGUAGCGGUGAAAUGCUUAGAUAUCACGAAGAACUCCGAUUGAGAAGGCAGUUCACUGGACUGCAACUGACACUGAGGCUCGAAAGUGUGGGUAUCAAACAGGAUUAGAUACCCUUGUAGUC